UACGUAGGGACCAAGCGUUGUCCGGAAUCAUUGGGCGUAAAGAGCGUGUAGGCGGCUUGUUAAGUCUUGCGUGAAAUCUCGAGGCUCAACCUCGAGACGCCGAUGGAAACCAUUUGGCUAGAGUCCGGAAGAGGAGAGUGGAAUUCCUGGUGUAGCGGUGAAAUGCGCAGAUAUCAGGAAGAACACCCGUGGCUAAGGCGGCUCUCUAGUACGGUACUGACGCUGAGACGCGAAAGCGUGGGGAGCGAACAGG
rnacentral:rRNA from 1 species